rnacentral:rRNA from 1 species
AGGGAAUCUUCCACAAUGGACGCAAGUCUGAUGGAGCAACGCCGCGUGAGUGAAGAAGGUUUUCGGACCGUAAAGCUCUGUUGUUGGUGAAGAAGGAUAGAGGUAGUAACUGGCCUUUAUUUGACGGUAAUCAACCAGAAAGUCACGGCUAACUACGUGCCAGCAGCCGCGGUAAUACGUAGGUGGCAAGCGUUGUCCGGAUUUAUUGGGCGUAAAGCGAGCGCAGGCGGAAGAAUAAGUCUGAUGUGAAAGCCCUCGGCUUAACCGAGGAAUUGUAUCGGAAACUGUUUUUCUUGAGUGCAGAAGAGGAGAGUAGAACUCCAUGUGUAGCGGUGGAAUGCGUAGAUAUAUGGAAGAAUACCAGUGGCGAAGGCGGCUCUCUGGUCUGCAACUGACGCUGAGGCUCGAAAGCAUGGGUAGCGAACAGGAUUAGAUACCCUGGUAGUCCAUGCCGUAAACGAUGAGUGCUAAGUGUUGGGAGGCUUCCGCCUCUCAGUGCUGCAGCUAACGCAUUAAGCACUCCGCCUGGGGGAGUACGACCGCAAGGUUGAAAC